rnacentral:rRNA from 1 species
GACAGCAGCUUUAUCACCCUGCAUCUCACAACUGGCAACCCACUGAAGCUAAGCAGGCGUGAGCCUGGUCAGUACCUGGAUAGGAGACCACCUGGGAAACUAGGGUUGCUGCUGGAA